rnacentral:rRNA from 1 species
UUUCCGGUUGAUCCUGCCGGACCUGACUGCUAUCGGAUUGAUACUAAGCCAUGCGAGUCAUUGUAGCAAUACAAGGCAGACGGCUCAGUAACGCGUAGUCAACCUACCCUAUGGACGGGGAUAACCUCGGGAAACUGAGUAUAAUACCCGAUAGAACAUUAUGCCUGGAAUGGUUUAUGUUCCAAAUGAUUUAUUGCCAUAGGAUGGGACUGCGGCCUAUCAGUUUGUUGGUGAGGUAAUGGCCCACCAAGACUAUUACAGGUACGGGCUCUGAGAGGAGUGGCCCGGAGAUGGGUACUGAGACACGGACCCAGGCCCUAUGGGGCGCAGCAGGCGAGAAAACUUUGCAAUGUGCGAAAGCACGACAAGGUUAAUCCGAGUGGUUUCUGCUAAAGGAACCUUUUGACAGUCCUAAAAACACUGUUGAAUAAGGGGUGGGCAAGUUCUGGUGUCAGCCGCCGCGGUAAAACCAGCACCUCAAGUGGUCAGGAUGAUUAUUGGGCCUAAAGCAUCCGUAGCCGGCUCUGUAAGUUUUCGGUUAAAUCUGUACGCUUAACGUACAGGCUGCUGGGAAUACUGCAGAGCUAGGGAGUGGGAGAGGUAGACGGUACUCGGGAGGAAGUGGUAAAAUGCUUUGAUCUCUCGAUGACCACCUGUGGCGAAGGCGGUCUACCAGAACACGUCCGACGGUGAGGGAUGAAAGCUGGGGGAGCAAACCGGAUUAGAUACCCGGGUAGUCCCAGCUGUAAACUAUGCAAACUCAGUGAUGCACUGGCUUGUGGCCAGUGCAGUGUUGCASGGAAGCCGUUAAGUUUGCCGCCUGGGAAGUACGUACGCAAGUAUGAAACUUAAAGGAAUUGGCGGGGGAGCACCACAAGGGGUGAAGCCUGCGGUUCAAUUGGAUUCAACGCCGGG